ACAAGCGGUGGAGCAUGUGGUUUAAUUCGAUGCAACGCGAAGAACCUUACCUGGUCUUGACAUCCCGGAGACCCUUAGGAAACUAGGGGGUGCUUCCAUCUGGAAGAAUCUGGAGACAGGUGCUGCAUGGCUGUCGUCAGCUCGUGUCGUGAGAUGUUGGGUUAAGUCCCGCAACGAGCGCAACCCUUGCCUUUAGUUGCCAGCAGUUCGGCUGGGCACUCUAAAGGGACUGCCGGUGUUAAACCGGAGGAAGGUGGGGAUGACGUCAAGUCCUCAUGGCCUUUAUGACCAGGGCUACACACGUACUACAAUGGCCGAUACAAAGGGCAGCGACACUGCGAGGUGAAGCCAAUCCCGUAAAAUCGGUCUCAGUCCGGAUUGGAGUCUGCAACUCGACUCCAUGAAGUUGGAAUCGCUAGUAAUCGUGGAUCAGCAUGCCACGGUGAAUACGUUCCCGGGCCUU
rnacentral:rRNA from 1 species